GUCAGUAAAUCCGUAUAAUCAAAUAGCUUUCUUGCAAGCAUCAAAUGUUGCAAUACAUUUUGUCUUGCAAUUGAAUUUGGCUAUAUCGCUCUGCUUGGAACCAUUCUAGCAGAUUGCUCUAUUAUUUAGGAUAAAGAUGUAUUCUGACAUGUUCUUGCUAUUAUUAUAUCUAACUAAAAAUUAGAGUCAUACUUUACAAGCUUUAAGUCAGAUUCUCCAUAACUGAGUUACCUGUCCUUAGUAUUUCUUAAAUAUCUAAGGAUGUCCUACCAGUGAUUUUAACUCGGAUCUUGCAGGUAUCCACUCACUAUCCU
rnacentral:lncRNA from 1 species